CCCGGGUGAACUUCUCGGCUAGAUCCGCCACUGAUUACCCAGCUAUCAUCCAUGUUGGUCUACUGAGUAUAACCUCUCUUGUUCUCACAUUUGAGACCUUUAAAAGAGAGCAACCAUUACCAAUUUCAUGAACAAAUAUCAUGGAACCUAAGCAACCCCAAAUAGCAUUUACAGCUCAAAUGAUUCUUCCUUUGGGAGGAACAUCGCCACUGAAUCGGGCAAACAAAAACUCCUUGAAC
rnacentral:lncRNA from 1 species